CUCGUGUCGUGAGAUGUUGGGUUAAGUCCCGCAACGAGCGCAACCCCUAUUGUUAGUUGCCAUCAUUCAGUUGGGCACUCUAGCGAGACUGCCGGUAAUAAACCGGAGGAAGGUGGGGAUGACGUCAAAUCAUCAUGCCCCUUAUGACCUGGGCUACACACGUGCUACAAUGGUUGGUACAACGAGUUGCGAGUCGGUGACGGCAAGCUAAUCUCUUAAAGCCAAUCUCAGUUCGGAUUGUAGGCUGCAACUCGCCUACA
rnacentral:rRNA from 1 species